rnacentral:rRNA from 1 species
UUCCAGACUCCUACGGGAGGCAGCAGUGGGGAAUAUUGCACAAUGGGGGGAACCCUGAUGCAGCGACGCCGCGUGGGCGAGGAAGUAUUUCGGUAUGUAAAGCCCUAUCGGCAGGGAAGAAGAAAUGACGGUACCUGACUAAGAAGCCCCGGCUAACUACGUGCCAGCAGCCGCGGUAAUACGUAGGGGGCAAGCGUUAUCCGGAUUUACUGGGUGUAAAGGGGGCGCAGACGGCAGCGCAAGCCAGGAGUGAAAGCCCGGGGCCCAACCCCGGGCAUGCAUUGGAAACUGGCGGGCUGGAGUGCCGGAGAGGUAAGCGGAAUUCCUAGUGUAGCGGUGAAAUGCGUAGAUAUUAGGAGGAACACCAGUGGCGAAGGCGGCUUACUGGACGGCAACUGACGCUGAGGCUCGAAAGCGUGGGGAGCAAACAGGAUUAGAUACCCUUGUA